GUCAAUUGACCGGUUCCGCAAUUUGACCAGUUCCGCAAUUUCGGAAAACUAGCUCUCGUUUUCAGGAAGACGAAAACGCCAAGGACUUAAACUUUGGUACCGAUGGAAAGGUUAUUCCAUCUACUUUUCAAAAAUGGUUUUAGUUUUAGGAUACUCACUUACAUUUAAAAAUAAAUCCCCUACGACCGUCACUUGCCGUUAACGAACUGCCGAAAUGGAACGCGCACGGAAGCGUGAUUUCAUGUUUGUCGGCCUGCUACACGAUUGUUCAGGGGAAUUAAAUCAUGGCGAUUGAUGCAACUUGUUCGGAAAUUAUUCAUUAUUCCACCAUACAAAUAUAAGAUUUGAAGUCUUUGAAUUUUUUUUUCUAUACCCACCAGAGUAACUGCUGGUCGUUUGGCCGGUUCCGCAAACGCAUUCAUACUGCCUAUACAAUACACUGGCCAUGGUGUGACUGUAUUAACCAGUGCUGCUAUUGACAAGUAUUGUUGAUGACGGCCCCCUAGCGCGGUGCACUUUAUUUAUUUUGGCAUGAAUCUUUCUUUUUUUACAACUUACAAAGAAUUGAGAAUUUCUAUUUAUUUUUAAUCCUUGUUUUAAAAAUGUCGAAUUUGAUGAUCAUUUCUGGGUGUUCAGUGCACAAAAUUGAAAACUAAAUUGAAACAAAAUGAUUUUGUUUCUGUCCAGCUUCCGGACAGCACUGUAGGUUUUGGAUAAAAAAAAAUUGGACUUCAAAAUUUAAAAUACAAAAAUCUUUCUUAAUACUUCCCACUAAACGCUUUUCCUUUGCUCUAAAAAAAUUCACCCCAUACUUGAUGUUGAAGCAGUUGUGCCUCAGGGGUUUGAAUUCAUUUUAGAGUUACAACUCUCCACAUCCAGGGUGCAUGAGUCAGCCCAGGCUAGGAGACAAUGCCAAAGACAAAGAAGAAGAUUACGCCAGCCUCCUGAUAGGCCAUAAGAGGCCAUCGGCACAUCUUUUUCAGUUUUACCUGUGAAGGUCAAGAAGAAGUUGAAUAUUAUAGUGAAAGUACAUGUAGCUGUGUGUCUUCAUCACCAUUUCUUUGAAUUUUAUUUAUGUGACAAGUUUUUUUGUAUAGUGCUAGCUUCUGGAGUGCUUAAAUUAUUUGUGUAUAACAAUUAAACAGACAUGCAGGUGUCAUAAAGGCAAUAAAUUUAAAGGCGUUACAUACAUUUUUAUUUACCAGUACAUGUGAAAGAGAAGUGAGGUGUUUGAAAAACUAUGCUACUUUGCAUGAAAAACUCACAGGACAUGUCUAUUUCUGUGAUUCAUCACCAUUUAUUUAUAUGACACGUAUAUUUUUGGAUUUAAAAGGGGUAGCUUCUUGAGUGCUUUAGUUUUGUAUUACAUUUACACAUGCAGGUAUCACAUGUCAAUAUAUUGAAAGGGUUAUCGGGAUAUACGUGAUGAAUGUGUUGACAUUUUCUUUUAAGAGCAUCA